rnacentral:lncRNA from 1 species
CAUUACGUGCCACUAAAAAAUGACAAUGAAUAACUUACUGAGAACUCCAUGUUGUCGUCAUGCACAAAAAAUCUUUUUGUACAACUAAAUCCUAGUAACAUGUUGAGAACCAGUAUAUUUUUAACACCGCAUGAGGCAGAUUUUCUGGAAAGAAAAUAAGUAGACAUAAAAAUAUUUUCUCACCAUGUCCUCCAACAAUAAAGUGAUACCAAUGACCUUUUAGAUUAGUAUCAGUGUGUUUCACUCCAGCCAUGUCUUAGUGAAAUAAAUGACAAUAACAAGAAAGAACAAAAUAAUGUUGCAGAUGUAGAAAGUAAAUGAGUAACUCCUGGACUGAUUCCUUCGUUAAAAC